GUUUAGCUCUUAUAGAGUUUUCAUAUUUAAUAUAUAUUUUAAUUAAAGGAAAGCUGCAGAAUUUCGAUCCACGUAUUCAGCUAUUCUUCAUGGAGUUGUGCCUUUUGAUAGAAAUCUUCUCAUUUUAAGAGCUCUACUCUGAGAAACUCCUUAAUGGAAGAACAGUCUCCAGUAAGAUCAAGAGUCAGUAGACGCCAGCACUCUGCAGCUGAAUUGAGGCUUUCAUGUGGCUGGGUUACUAUGAGCCAUCCAUUGUUCCUAUUGUUCUGUAGAUCUUUGUUGGAAUGUUGUUGAUAUUCAUUGAUUUCUCAAGGCAAGUACUGGAGCUCAGUGAAAUUUCCUUCUAAAGAGAAAGUGUACAACAGGAGAAUUCAGAUGUCCUUACACUGCCUUCUUCAUGCUUCUGACUUCCACCUCCCUCCAAGGAAGGAGAAUUUUGUGGGAAACAGAAAAUAUGGAAUGGUCCAACACACUGAACUACCCUCGUCCUUACAGAGAAAAGCAGAGAAGGUGAAAAGCUCCAUUCACCUGCUGAAAAUGCCAGAUGACCAGAAGCAAAGCAAGACUAGUUGGGGAGCAUUGAGCAGAGUGAUGAACUGCAUUUCAUCCAACCCAAAAUAGUCUGUGCCCAUUUACCAUCUUGAAGGGCCCUUGUCAGGUUGAGGGAGUUCUGCCAGGAAGCAGGCACUAAAACGGUGACCUUGAAUCUUGGCUGGCUGAUAAUGGGCCACAAAGAAUUGACAAAAUCCAACUGCUUGCUGAAGAUACAUGGCUUCCUUCAGCAGACAGUGAAAGAUGAAAUAGAUUGGCUUAAAAAAAAAAACACCAAAGAGCUUUGGGCUUAUUGAUUUUUAUAAACAAAACCCUUUGGGUGCCCUAAGAGUAGAAAGGUACUAUGACAAUUUGUCUUCUUAGAAUAAAAAUAGAGACAUGUAUAAACUAAAUAUGUUU
rnacentral:lncRNA from 1 species